CGUGGUACAGUGAGGGAGUGGUCCGCAAUGGAGGGGAGAAAAGUGGAGGUGGCAUUUAUCACGUGCAUACUGCAGUUCACUUGUAAUCCGGUGCCCAGAUCUCUCUCUCUAACGUGACAAAUAAAGUUUAACAAAAAAUGCCCUGCUCUUAUUCGAUGUCUGAUCUCGCUCUCGCUCUCUCUGCACGGGUAAUCUGGUGCCCAGAGCUCUCUGUCUGUUUCCCUAAUCUGGCACCAGAGCUCUCUAUUCUCUCUCUAUCUCUAGAGUCUAACAAAUAAAGUUUAACAAAAACUCCCCAGCUUUGUUUGGAACUGUGAUCUCUCUCUCUGCGCUUUGUUUCGAAUUGUGAUCUCUCUCUCUGUAUCGUAACGCCUACCUUCUUGCCCACCCCUUCCUUUUCUUCUCUGUCUCACUUUUCUAUGUUCUUAGCCGUUGGAGAUAUUAAAGGGAUGAUGAGUGCUUGAUGCAUUCCCCUUGCCAAGCAAGUUGGUUAUCAGUGUCCUUGUCAGAAGGCCGAUCUUCGUAAUUAUUUAUUGCUAUUCUUUUGAAGUUAAUUUAAAUUUGUGGAGAGAGAGAGAGGAGCCAAUGAGAGCGAGGGGACAUGCAGAGCCCAUCCUACGACACAGAUCGUUCCUCUUCGGUUGCUACUAGAGAAGAGGAUGGUCAACUAAGCCAAAGCAAUGAUGGAAGCAUCACACCUUCUCUUGGAAGAAUUUCAGAGCCUUCUAGACAUUGGAGGGAUGUUUUCUGGUUGGGUAUCUUUGUUAUACACUUGGCUGUGUUGGGAUUUGUCCUUGCAGUACUUGGACUAAAUCGAUUCAAGAAGUUGGAUAGAUUCAAAAUCGACCGAUACACAUACAAGAUUAUUGAGAAUGAAGCAGGACAGACAGAGACAUAUUGGCCUUUUUAUGCUUUAGCAGCUGGUAUUGGUACUUCGUUGGGAUGGGCUUGGUUGUCACUACUAGGAACUCGUGCAAAUCAAAUGAUGAAGAUUUCAGUGCACAUCUUGACAACUUACCUUGCUGUCAUAAGUGCAUUGUGUUUCUGGGACAAGCAGAUUUUCUGGGCUAUAGCAUUUGCUAUUGGUGCUGCUUUACAGUUUAUGUAUGUCAUGUCUGUGAUGGACAGGUUUCCGUUCACAAUGUUGGUUUUGCAAAAAGGCGUCAAGAUGGUUUGGAACGUUCCUGAGGUUAUGAGGGUUACCUAUGCAUUUAUGGGAUUAAUGCUCGUGUGGUUCGCAAUUUGGUCUUUUGGAGUAUCUGGUGUGGUUGCUUCAAGCAUAGGUGAUGGUGGCUGCUGGUGGCUUCUUGGGGUACUCUCAAUCAGUUUGUUUUGGACAGGUGCUGUUCUUUGUAACACUGUCCAUGUGGUAGUAUCUGGUAUGGUUGUUCUAGUUCUCUUAAACGGUGGUCAAGGAUCAUCAUCAAUGCCACCAAAGCCAUUGCUAAGGACUCUGCAACAUGCUUUGACUACAUCUCUGGGUAGCAUCUGCUAUGGAUCUCUUUUCACUGCUGCCAUCCGAACAUUGAGAUGGGAGAUCCGUGGGUUUCGAUCGAAAAUUGGCAACAAUGAGUGUUUGCUCUGCUGUGUAGACUUCUUAUUUAAUCUUGUUGAGACACUUGUUCGCUUCUUCAACAAAUAUGCAUAUGUUCAGAUAGCAGUUUCUGGGAAGAGCUUUAACCAUUCAGCAAGGGAUGCGUGGGAGCUAUUUCAGUCAACUGGCAUUGAAGCCCUUAUUGCUUAUGAUUGUUCUGGUGCAGUUCUCUUGAUGGGAACAACUUUGGGUGGACUUAUUACUGGAACAUGUGCCGGAAUCUGGACAUGGUUCAAGAAAAGUGAUAGAGUGGUUAUGGUUGGUUUUACGGCUAUGUUGAUGGGGAUGAUCUUGUGUCCAGGUACCAAUUACCACACACAGUUGCUCAUUCCCUUUUCCUUUUUGGAAGGUAACAUAUCUUACACCUCUAUGGAAUUACAAAUUAAACAUCAGGUAGGAUUAGCCUUCGUUUGGAUUUGUGUCCAUUAAAGGCUUUACCACUUGGUUUUCAAUUCACAGCUAGUUUAUCCCAUGUAUUCUGUAUUGUUUAUAUAAUCAAAAUAAAACUCCCAAUUUGAGUGCGAGUGUUGGCUCCAUGGAUAAAACAUGCCAUGAGAGCAGGCAAUAUAUUGUUUAGGGUGGUUUUGACAUGAGCAUCUGUUUUGAUCGGACUCUAUGGUUGGGGCCAAGAGCGCUCUAUCACUCUCACAUUGGAUGUGACUAAGCCUUGGUUAGGAGGAGCGGAAUCCGCACCUUGGGCUGGAUAUGUGCUAACAAUAGUUCCUGGAUGCAUCACCAAAUUGGUCUGAUGGGUGUUGUAGAUGUCAAAGCCUAUUGUCAUAUCUUUUUUGUAUUUCCCUCGAGGACUUAUUCGUCCUUUUGCCAUACAUAGGGAGCACGUUUUGUACUUUUUAUAAUUGAUCAAUUCUAAAUAAGAAUAGGAGGGGCAUAUGGAUGAGGUAACCCUAAUGUGACAGCCCCUUCAUGCUUCUCUCCUCAAUGCCACACUUUCUCACUUCCUCUCUCGAACUCUUCUAUCAGUAAAUCUGUGCUCUCUCUAGACUUUCUCCUUCCUUUUCCUCUUCUUUUUCUCUGUUUCGACAUUUUUUAACCUGUUAUAAGAGAAUGAGACUUCAACAUAGGUGUUUUACAUCCUAAUGAUGUGAUGUGAUCGUGCAAGUGUCUUCAUCAGCCGUACGGUUAGAAACCCGUAUUCCAAAAAACAGGUACUGAAUGUAAAACCUUGAUUAUGCCGUUGGAUUCUACUUUUGAUGUUAGGUUAGAAACUCUAGAUCUGGUUGGGAUGAUUUGAUGAUUUCAAAAUCAAUUGUUGGACAACUUGACCAUGUCAACCCCUUUAUUUUGAGUUGUGAGACUCAUGUUCUUGAGAUCUCUUGUAUAGAUGAUCUCAAAUCCUUGUGGGAGGGCAUUUGAGCGGCUGUUUGUGUUGAUUUUAAACCCCACUUUUCUUGUUUCAAAUUUGAUUUUAAAAUUAGUUACAGAUAAGAUAGGAAAUCUUUAAAUUUUAAAUAAGAUUUGAUUUCUUAUUCUAUUAUCUUAGAUUAUGGGAGAUCUAGAUAAUGAUAAGAUUGGUUAUAUUUUUAAAUUUAAAAAAGAGUUGGACUAGGGUCAAAAUCUAAAGGGAUAAUAUUAUUAUCCUUCCACCUAAAAUCAUGAUGGUUUAUUUGUGGGAUGAAUUGCUCUCGACUAAAUCUCUCUCACCCCACAGAUUUCUUAAUUAUCCUAAAAAUCAAGCUGAAAAUUAAAUAAGGAUACUUAGAUUGGUUACCUAUUCAAAAUAAGAAAUAGAUCUUGUUUCUAUUUAAACAAGAUUUCAGGCCCCUCUCUCAUUACGAGAUUUUUUCUCUCACAUAAAAAGAUUCGUCUCUCACACCCCAAGUUUUUUCUCUCCAUGCCAGAAUAUUCUCUCUUUCACAUCAAAUUUUCUCUCCUCUUAGAGAAUCACGCCAUCCUCUCUCCUCUUAGAGAAUCAUGCCACCCUCUCGCCUCUGCUAUGUACAUGGUGAAGCCCUAGAGUAUGGUUUGUUGUAUUUGAAGAAAAGAAGGGAGAAGCCCAGCUAGAGAGAGAUCAACUCACAGAUUCAGUUCUAAGUUGUUCUUACAGGGUAUGUAGAAACCCUAGUUUGAUUUUUGAGCUCUCUAAAACCCUAGAGGAAGAAGUAUUGUCUAAAAAGCUUCCUAUCUUAGAAUUUCCAUCAACACUUAAAAUGAGUAAAAGUACGUCAUUGGUCAGGGAAUCAGAUGUAGGGUGUACCAAGACUUGUGAGGGUAACUUCAGGCAUCUUUCAGUAAGUCUUUUUAGUAGCUGUACUUAUUUUCAGCAUUAUUUCUUCUUCUUUUUUGUGAAUUUCUAGGAACUUGUUUUGUAUUAAAAAUCAUAGUGGAAAUUAGUUUAAAGCUCUUGGAUGGUUUUUAUUUCUUUUGGUAGUAAAAAUAAAGAUCUUAGGUUGUAUAUAGGGUAGUAUUUUAAUUUGUAGCAACAUAUAGUGGUUCACGUAAAUGGAAUUUUGGUAUUUGGAAUAAAAGUAAAAGAAAAUUUUCAAAUUUAAUACCUUGAGUUCCACAUAACCACCCUUUCAGGAAUAGACAUCUUUUGGGAGGUUGAUCGAGCUCUUUUCUUGAGCAGGAAUAUUCCCAAAAAAUUUUGGUCCGAAGCUGUGCUCGCAAUAUCUUAUUGUAUAAUUGUACAUCGUCUUGUGUUCUAGACUGAAAAUCUCCCUUUAAGCUUCUCCACCCUAAUUGUCCAUUGUUUAGUGUACCUUCGAUACUCUGGACGUGUUUGCUUUACUCUUGUAUUUGGUUCGUAGCGUACAAAGUUGGAUCCCAAGUCUGCAAAAUGUAUCUUUCUUGGCUAUUCGUCAUCUCAAAAGGUUUGCAAAUGUUAUGAUCCAGUCUUAGGGAAGAAGUUUGUUUCAAUGGAUUCCACUGUCUUUGAGUGAACUCCAUUUUUUCCUUCUCGUUUGGGGGAGCAUAGUGUGGAGGAGAGGUCUUUUGUUCCCCUUCCUAUUUUCGUUUUUCUUGAUUGUGAAGCUCAGGAAGUUAGUGGAGGGCAAUCGUAUGAUGUUGAAAAGAAAGAACUGAAAGUUUGUACUCGACCGAAACAAAAAGUAGAGCCGCCAUAGCUGAGAAGCCUCCAAAGCAAUUGCGUAACUCUGAUCCAGGUUGGUCUGGCAAUGGUCGUGGUAGAAAGUGCUGUUACAUCCAUAUACAUCUGCUAUGCUGAGGAUCCUCUUUUAAUUAACAGA